rnacentral:rRNA from 1 species
CCUACGGGUGGCAGCAGUCGAGAAUCAUUCACAAUGGGGGAAACCCUGAUGGUGCGACGCCGCGUGGGGGAAUGAAGGCCUUCGGAUUGUAAACCCCUGUCAUGUGGGAGCAAAUUAAAAAGAUAGUACCACAAGAGGAAGAGACGGCUAACUCUGUGCCAGCCGCCGCGGUAAUACAGAGGUCGCAAGCGUUAUCCGGAAUCACUGGGCGUAAGGCGGGCGUAGGCGGUUUCGUAAGUCGUGUGUGAAAGGCGCGGGCUCAACCCGCGGACGGCGCCUGAAACUGCGAGACUAGAGUGAAGAAGAGGGAACCGGAAUUCUCGGUGUAGCAGUGAAAUGCGUAGAUAUAGGGAGGAACACUCGUGGCGAAGGCGGGUUCCUGGACAUUAACUGACGCUGAGGCGCGAAGGCCAGGGGAGCGAAAGGGAUUAGAUACCCUUGUAGUC